rnacentral:rRNA from 2 species
GCUGGCUUUAUUGCAUGUGCUCGCCUCCGACAAUCCUUAUCCAUACACCUGUGCACCUCUGAGGGGUUUUCGGAUCCCUCUUUUUACACAAACCCUUUUUUAUAACAUCGAACGUGAUUAGUGCCGAUAAGGCCUUAAACAAAAUACAACUUUUAACAACGGAUCUCUUGGCUCUCGCAUCGAUGAAGAACGCAGCGAAUUGCGAUAAGUAAUGUGAAUUGCAGAAUUCAGUGAAUCAUCGAAUCUUUGAACGCACCUUGCGCUCCCUGGUAUUCCGGGGAGCACGCCUGUUCGAGUGUCGUGAAAUUCUCAAGCUGGAUGGCUUUAUUGUCCAUUUCAGUUUGGAUUUGGACCUUGCCGUGUCACUGCGGCUAGUCUUAAACGUAUUAGCUGAAUCUUGGUAUGAGAUUGGUUCUACUCAGCGUGAUAAUUAUCUGACCGCUGAGGACAUCUUUCGGGAUGGCCAGACUUGUCCUCGAGUCGCUUCUAAUCUGGUUUAAAACGAGGCUUAAUUGCUUUGUUUUACCACUUUUCAACUUUGACCUCGAAUCAGGCGGGACUACCCGCUGAACUUAAGCAUAUCAUA